rnacentral:rRNA from 1 species
GAUGGAUUAGUGGCGAACGGGUGAGGAACACGUGAAGAAUCUGCCCUCCACUUUGGGAUAACUCCGGGAAACCGGGGCUAAUACCGGAUAUGAGCCUUGAUCGCAUGAUCGGGGCUGGAAAGUUUUUCGGUUGAAGAUGACUUCGCGGCCUAUCAGCUUGUUGGUGGGGUUAAGGCCUACCAAGGCGACGACGGGUAGCCGGCCUGAGAGGGUGUCCGGCCACACUGGGACUGAGAUACGGCCCAGACUCC